rnacentral:rRNA from 1 species
GAUGAACGCUGGCGGCGUGCCUAAUACAUGCAAGUCGAGCGAACGGACGAGAAGCUUGCUUCUCUGAUGUUAGCGGCGGACGGGUGAGUAACACGUGGAUAACCUACCUAUAAGACUGGGAUAACUUCGGGAAACCGGAGCUAAUACCGGAUAAUAUUUUGAACCGCAUGAUUCAAAAGUGAAAGACGGUCUUGCUGUCACUUAUAGAUGGAUCCGCGCUGCAUUAGCUAGUUGGUAAGGUAACGGCUUACCAAGGCAACGAUGCAUAGCCGACCUGAGAGGGUGAUCGGCCACACUGGAACUGAGACACGGUCCAGACUCCUACGGGAGGCAGCAGUAGGGAAUCUUCCGCAAUGGGCGAAAGCCUGACGGAGCAACGCCGCGUGAGUGAUGAAGGUCUUCGGAUCGUAAAACUCUGUUAUUAGGGAAGAACAUACGUGUAAGUAACUGUGCACAUCUUGACGGUACCUAAUCAGAAAGCCACGGCUAACUACGUG